rnacentral:rRNA from 1 species
UGGGGAAUAUUGCACAAUGGGCGCAAGCCUGAUGCAGCAACGCCGCGUGAGGGAUGACGGCCUUCGGGUUGUAAACCUCUUUUAGUAGGGAAGAAGCGAAAGUGACGGUACCUGCAGAAAAAGCACCGGCUAACUACGUGCCAGCAGCCGCGGUAAUACGUAGGGUGCGAGCGUUGUCCGGAAUUAUUGGGCGUAAAGAGCUCGUAGGCGGUCUGUCGCGUCUGCUGUGAAAACCCGAGGCUCAACCUCGGGCCUGCAGUGGGUACGGGCAGACUAGAGUGCGGUAGGGGAGAAUGGAAUUCCUGGUGUAGCGGUGGAAUGCGCAGAUAUCAGGAGGAACACCGAUGGCGAAGGCAGUUCUCUGGGCCGUAACUGACGCUGAGGAGCGAAAGCGUGGGGAGCGAACAGGAUUAGAUACCCUGGUAGUCCACGCCGUAAACGUUGGGCGCUAGAUGUGGGGACCAUUCCACGGUUUCCGUGUCGCAGCUAACGCAUUAAGCGCCCCGCCUGGGGCAGUACGGCCGCAAGGCUAAAACUUGAAAUGAAUUGACGGGGUCAUAGCUGUUUCCU